rnacentral:rRNA from 1 species
UUGGAGGGCAAGUCUGGUGCCAGCAGCCGCGGUAAUUCCAGCUCCAAUAGCGUAUAUUAGAGUUGUUGCAGUUAAAAAGCUCGUAGUUGAAUUUCGGGAUCAGAGUGUCGGUCGUGCCUCGGUACGCACUGGUUUAUUGGUUCCUACCUUCUGAAGAGCCGCGAUGUCAUUAAUUUGGUGUCGUGGGGAAUCAGGACUGUUACUUUGAAAAAAUUAGAGUGUUUAAAGCAGGCUUACGCUUGAAUACAUUAGCAUGGAAUAAUGAAAUAGGACGUUUGAUUCUAUUUUGUUGGUUUCUAGGAUUGACGUAAUGAUUAAUAGGGAUAGUUGGGGGCAUUAGUAUUCAAUUGUCAGAGGUGAAAUUCUUGGAUUUAUUGAAGACUAACUACUGCGAAAGCAUUUGCCAAGGAUGUUUUCAUUAAUCAAGAACGAAAGUUAGGGGAUCGAAGACGAUCAGAUACCGUCGUAGUCUUAACCAUAAACUAUGCCGACUAGGGAUCGGAUGAUGUUAAUUUUUUAAUGACUCAUUCGGCGCCUUACGGGAAACCAAAGUGUUUGGGUUC